ensembl:lncRNA
GGGGGGGGAGGUGGAUAAAAAAAAAAUCUUCCAGCCUUCUCCCAAGUCCUAAACGCGUCCCUCGAGGUUCACUAUGCUUCCAGGCAGCCUUACCCCUGCUGGCUUCCAGGAUGCCAUUGCCAAGAACUGCAACGGUGUUGCAAAGUCGAAGUACAGGCCGCAAGUGGAUGGGAAAGAACCUUGACAACACAAAACUCAUUUACUAAUGGACUGGUUUUGAGUUUCUCCUCCCUGGGUCCGCAAAUCUCCUUCCUGAUCCCUUGGCCUAGUCAGUCUUCGCAGUCAACGGCGUCCUGCACUGGGCAGGUGGGCGGCAGUUUUCGUGUGUUGCUCAGAAUCUGAACCUAGCUCCCCAAGGACGCCGGGCACCAGCGGCUUCCGUCCAAGGAGAGGAAGAAGAUGAACAUUGUUGCCUCGGCUCGGCUCGGAUCUGAGUCUCCGCAUUGCUGCAUAGAGAUGGCAUUAGUUUAUUGAGGAUGCCCUUGACUUCCAAAUCCGUAGGUAGGGGUAGGAGUCCUUUUUGAUGAUAAAGGAACUCCAAGAAACCCGGCUGGGAGCCUCAAGUCAUCUUGCUUCAAGUCAGAAGGAAAACAAGUAGGACCCAGAUACAGGAUUUUGAUUCAAGGCCUAUGUCGACCCAGCAGCUCUAUAUGUUGUCGCCUUGGCCUUUCGGAGCACCGCCUGUGUGCCUGGCCAUUACCAGCACUGUGGAGGCACCCUGAGCCUCUCCUCCAGAGGCACCCUACUAAGCCCGGAAGCUGCCAGGGCAGCAGCAAACAGACUAGAGUGGUUGGGUUUCCUUUAAAUUCCCGACGCAUCUCUGCUUUUUCAUGCGAUUUGCAUUGACAGCAAAGGUUUUAUAUUACAGAACAACUCCAACCUUUCUGUGCGCGAUUUAAAAUGGAUCAUUUGGUUUAUGUGGUUUGUAAAUUCAUGUCAUUUUACCUCUUUUAGUGGUUUUCAGUGAAAGGUUCCAUUUGGGGAAACCUUAUAUAUCCAAGCCAAUAAUUAUCAUUUAUAACAAUUGGUUCUCUUAACCGAGGGAUCCAAAUAGCAGGUAGGCUCCUUGGUACAAAGCGCACAGCACUUUUCCUUUUUAGUUAAGUGAUCUAUUGGAUUAAAUGGGAGGGAGUGAAAGGCUGGCGUGUCCAGCGCCCACCCCCACCUCCACCCCGCUCCCUCCUCUGCCUCUGAGAAAAAGUACCUCUCAUAACCUCGGUGCCGGUUAUCACAGAACUUAUGCCACUCCUCUUGCCAGUUGUCACCAGUGUCUGGUACAGUCCUGAUUCCUUUUGAAGAGAGAUUAAAUAAAAAAAAAAAAAAAAAAAAAGGGCCUGGGGGAUCUGGAGGAUGCCAGGGAAAUGGUAGUCAUAUACUACCAUUCAUUCCUGCUAUCCUCUGCAAAUGUAUACCUGUAGUUAUCUGUGACUUAUACCUCUCUUCCCUACAAAGACUGUUAAUUACAAAGUAUACUCUGCACUCAACGUACCGUUUGUCCUUUAAGUGACUGUGUUUAUAGCCCUCCUCCCAUUUUAAUUGUGCACACUUGUUCCAGACAUUAGGGUACUGAUUUUGAGAGCCCAUAUAAGUCCCCAUUCUGGUCCUCACACAGCUGCCAUGUCAAUAAGGACUGUUCCAAGCAGAGACAUUCCUCUUGGCAGGACACUGCCGUUCCUUAAGACUUCAUCUGAAACGUCAUGAGCACUAAAAUAAGACAGUGAGGGAAAAUUACCAGGCACAUAGCCUAGGGCUCAGCAGUGCCAGGCUUCUAGUUUAGAAAGUAAGCCAUUGGGCAUACCAUGUGGCAGGAGCUCUUUUGAAAUAAUACACACCCAUUAAAUGUAUUUUUUUUAAAAAAAGCCUAAAUGUAAUGAUGUAUCAGCAUCUGCUUUCAAGGUUUAAUUGCAUGGGAUAGCAUGAGUUCCAAAGAGGCAGAAAGCAUGGUGUGGGAAGAGCCUUUCUGUCUACUUGGAGUCUCCCAGGAGAAACAACCUCGAAGUGGGAACCCUUUAUGAGUUUGAAUUGCAUGUUACAGGGUGCGUUGGACUGGGUGCAUUAUUUUAAAACCAUAUAAAUAAUACAAGGGGAAACCCUUCUCUCACUUAGAGGUCAAAAUGCAAAACAGUUCUGUGGUGCAGUCUCUUUGGCUGAUGAAAUCAAAACACUGAAAGAAGACAAGCACGUUUAAAGAGCCCAAGGUUUGCUCCUGGCCAUUCUCUAAGAGGG